UACGAAGGGGGCUAGCGUUGUUCGGAAUUACUGGGCGUAAAGCGCGCGCAGGCGGUCUUCCAAGUCAGUGGUGAAAGCCCGGAGCUCAACUCCGGAACUGCCAUUGAAACUGUGAGACUUGAGGACGAGAGAGGUGAGUGGAAUUCCCAGUGUAGAGGUGAAAUUCGUAGAUAUUGGGAAGAACACCGGUGGCGAAGGCGGCUCACUGGCUCGUAUCUGACGCUCAGGCGCGACAGCGUGGGGAUCAAACAGG
rnacentral:rRNA from 2 species